AUUGAACGCUGGCGGCAGGCCUAACACAUGCAAGUCGAGCGGAUGAAGGGAGCUUGCUCCUGGAUUCAGCGGCGGACGGGUGAGUAAUGCCUAGGAAUCUGCCUGGUAGUGGGGGAUAACGUCCGGAAACGGGCGCUAAUACCGCAUACGUCCUGAGGGAGAAAGUGGGGGAUCUUCGGACCUCACGCUAUCAGAUGAGCCUAGGUCGGAUUAGCUAGUUGGUGGGGCAAAGGCCUACCAAGGCGACGAUCCGUAACUGGUCUGAGAGGAUGAUCAGCCACACUGGAACUGAGACACGGUCCAGACUCCUACGGGAGGCAGCAGUGGGGAAUAUUGGACAAUGGGCGAAAGCCUGAUCCAGCCAUGCCGCGUGUGUGAAGAAGGUCUUCGGAUUGUAAAGCACUUUAAGUUGGGAGGAAGGGCAGUAAGUUAAUACCUUGCUGUUUUGACGUUACCAACAGAAUAAGCACCGGCUAACUUCGUG
rnacentral:rRNA from 1 species